rnacentral:piRNA from 1 species
UUCAGCCUCUUUGAGCCUGUUCAUGGCAU